GUGAAGUGUUAUGUGAGAGGACAGGAAGAGGCUGGAGAAGACGGUGGACCUGAUGGCGCCGGGCGGUGGUGUCCUUCGCUUGUAUCGAGUCUUAACCACUGCUGCUCCUCCACUUGUACACGCACACUGGUUCUGGGUAUAGAUGACUCGAGUGGGCAGGACAGGCACUCACCCAGAUGUUGGGGCAGCUUGCCACCACGCUUCACCAGCAGGGACACGCUGUUGCCACACUGCUUGAUCAGUUCAAUGGCGUCAGCAUGUGUCAUGUCCUUGGUUGACCUCCCAUUGAUCUCCAUCAGCUGGUCUCCAACCUGGAACAAGUGGUUUACAAUACUUUGCAGCUGCAGGACCAUUCUCUGCAAUUCUCAGAACAAAGAGCGGCAUGUUGUGGAACUCCCGGCCACCACGGAUGCUGAAGCCAAAGCCUCGUGUGCCUCGCUGCAGCUCCACGCCGUAGUACUCCCCAUCCUCUCCUGCCUCACUCUCCGCCUGCACCACCACCACAACACAGGGAGAGGGAAA